GGCACUCAAAAUUUUCUCUCAUUCUCUCUAUUCUCCUUAAAGUCAAAAAAAGAGAAAAAGUUCAAAAAUCAUUUUUUCCCCUCUCUCUUAAAACAGAAAACUACUCCCUCUCUUCUACACCAGCCGUGCCGCCUCUCUUCUUCCGGUCGCCACCGCUGUGCCGCUGCAACUCCAGUCCCGUCCGUGACUUCCGGCCGCUGCAACUCCCUCUACACGAAGCACAUCCUGCCGUUGUGCUAUUCCGAUCGCGCUAGGUUUCCUCCGCCGACAAACUCCUCUGCGGACAUCUCCCUCCGAUUGCAACUUCCGACCUCUUCUCCUUCGAUUCCGUCCGGUAGCUUUUCUAAUUCUUGA